AGGAAAUAGAUACCCUGGUAGUCCACGCCCUAAACGAUGUCGACUGGUUGUUGGGGGUUUGACACUCUCAGUAAACGAAAGCUAAACGCGUGAAGUCGACCGCCUGGGGAGUACGGCCGCAAGGUUAAAACUCAAAGGAAUUGACGGGGACCCGCACAAGCGGUGGAUUAUGUGGAUUAAUUCGAUGCAACGCGAAAAACCUUACCUACCCUUGACAUGUCCUGAAUCCUGGAGAGAUCCGGGGGUGCCCGAAAGGGAACGGGAACACAGGUGCUGCAUGGCUGUCGUCAGCUCGUGUCGUGAGAUGUUGGGUUAAGUCCCGCAACGAGCGCAACCCUUGUCAUUAGUUGCUACCGCAAGGAGCACUCUAAUGAGACUGCCGGUGACAAACCGGAGGAAGGUGGGGAUGACGUCAAGUCCUCAUGGCCCUUAUGGGUAGGGCUUCACACGUAAUACAAUGGUCGGUACAGAGGGUUGCCAAGCCGCGAGGCGGAGCCAAUCCCAGAAAGCCGAUCGUAGUCCGGAUCGCAGUCUGCAACUCGACUGCGUGAA
rnacentral:rRNA from 1 species